UUCAGGGCGGUGCCUUGGUUUCCCAGGCACACAUCCCCUUGGGUGAUAGUGAGCUACUCCCUAUUUACCUGGGUGUCAGGCUACGGUCAGGGUGCCCCUGGAUUUUGUGGGCCCUCUGUCCUCUGGCUACUCCACCUGUGCCUUUCCUCUCUCUGCAGGAGAUCCUCAGACCCUACGGCGCCUUCUGGCUCACCGCUGCCUUCUGUAUCCUCAGCGUCCUUUUCACGCUCACCUUUGUCCCUGAGACUAAAGGCAGGACUCUGGAACAAAUCACAGCCCAUUUCGAGGGACGGUGACGGACCCUUUCUGUGACUGGCAGCCCUGAGCUGAGCUGGCUUCGGGUUUCAAAAGGAGUGGAGUGGCCUCAGUGACCACAGUUUGAGCCCAGGGGCCCCCUGACUCCUCAGAUCUCCGGGCCAGCUUUGUCCAGAUCUCAACCCAGAUCCACACCAUGAGCUUCACCAGAUUCUGAGGCUCUGCAGCCUGCUGCACACACAACACAUCUGCGGAGCCAUGCAGUCUCGCCUAACCCACGGGUCUCCUUCCUAAGACUAAAGCAACUGACGAGACUGCGGGCUCCUGGCUCUAGUGCUCUGGCUGGGCAUCUUUGGGGUGCUUGGUCCUAAGCAACUGCCCAUACCUCACUUGACUGGGGGAUGAGAAAGGGACUUAGCCACAUAAGAUUUGGGCUCAGAAACAAGGUCAGGUGAGUCCAGGAAGAAAAGAGAAUGUUCUUGUCUUGUCAACCAAGUCCUUCUCAGAGUGCCCAGAGACCUCCGGAUUCACCUUGGGGUUAGCCAGCUUACCCAUCACUUACAGGUUCUCUCCAGCUCUUCCCUGGUCUCAGUGUCCUGGAUCAUUAGUCACCAGGUCUUGUUGAGUUUCAGAAAAUAAAAGGCCUCUUUCCGUUCAACUUU
rnacentral:lncRNA from 1 species